AGGGGUGUAGCUCAGUUGGUCAGAGCGCCGAUCUCCAAAAUCGGAUGCCGCAGGUUCGAAUCCUGUCUCCCCUGCCA
rnacentral:tRNA from 1 species